rnacentral:rRNA from 1 species
AUUGAACGCUGGCGGCGUGCCUAACACAUGCAAGUCGAGCGGCAGCGCGGGAGCAAUCCUGGCGGCGAGCGGCGGACGGGUGAGUAACGCUUGGGAAUCUGCCUGUUAGUGGGGGACAACCCGGGGAAACUCGGGCUAAUACCGCAUACGCACUACGGUGGAAAGCCGGGGACCGCAAGGCCUGGCGCUAACAGAUGAGCCCAAGUCGGAUUAGCUAGUUGGUAGGGUAACGGCCUACCAAGGCGACGAUCCGUAACUGGUCUGAGAGGACGACCAGUCACACCGGAACUGAGACACGGUCCGGACUCCUACGGGAGGCAGCAGUGGGGAAUAUUGGACAAUGGGGGAAACCCUGAUCCAGCGACGCCGCGUGGGUGAAGAAGGCCUGCGGGUUGUAAAGCCCUUUCAGUAGGGAAGAAAAGCCGAGUGCUAAUAUCACUCGG